GUUAGGUUGAAGAAACUGUUAGUAAUCAUUUGUUAUCAUUUCUGUAUAAUCAGCAAUGAGUGUAAAUAUGUAUAUACAUUAUUUUGUUUUCCUUUACCUUCAUACUUUAGAUUAUAUUAGUUUACACGUAUCCUGAGCACGUGUUUAAAUAGUUGUCUACCUGAGGAAAACCAGAACUUCUUCUUACUCUCACAGUCUUUUCUUUGUUCUCACUCCAAGACCCCUGCCCCCCAUUGACUAUAAAUAAAGGUGCCAAGGGGAACCACCCUUUGUAACACAUUCCUUUGUAGCCUAGCAUGCAGAGAGUGUGGUUACCCUUGUGCAAGUAAAACUCUAAGUGUGUUGUCUCGUAAUUAAUGGUGUGUACAGAGUUGGAGUGGAAAGCCUGUCGCUUUCUCCAACAUAUACUGUAUUGUAGUUUGGUCCUGUGUGCAGAGUUGGAGUGGAAAGCCUGACGCUUUCUCCAACAUAUAAUUUGGUCCUUCGAGCCGGAGUCGAGGACACCUGACGACAUCGCCAGCACGCCGAGAGGAGCGACACUGAAGCCUGCCGGCAGCCACUCGGAGACGGGUGCAAAAAAGACCUGUGACGUGAAUUCGUCAUCAGGCCGGUGGUUAGAACUGCGCUCGACGUCUGGUGAUGUCUGACGGACCUCGGUGGCGGAACACAGGCACACAGGACAGGAUAAUCUGCAGCCAGGAGAUUGGAUCCUGGUCAAGGUCCUGUUGCGAAAGGAUUGGAGCACACCUCGGUGGGACGGACCUUAUCAAGUCCUCCUCACAACACCAACAGCGGUGAAAAUAGCAGAGCGACCUUCCUGGAUACAUAAGAGUCACUGUAAGCCCAUCAAGCCCGUAUCAGAGACCUCUGUACCUUCGGAGUAGCAGUGGAAGUCCGCUACAAAGGCGCAGCAAUCAAUAGGAUACUGACGUCUCAACCCGGUGAAGAAAACAGCUGAUCUGCACUCCAUUUAGAAUGACUCUGAUUGGGUGGGGAUGUGGUAAGGUAACUCUCGGUGUAAUUCUCUUUAUGGGAAUUGUUGGUCUGCUUCUGCACUCACCAGAGCAGGUGUUUCGCCCACCUAGAUGGACACAUGACGGCUCCCACCUGAGACCUAUCUCCACAAAUGAGACCCAUCCUUUCCUACAAAAUUACUGGUAUCGUUAUGUUUAUGAUUCAGCAAAGAAAGACAAUUUAACUAACUGUUAUGUCUGUACACAUAUGUCCCUGGAUCCCCAUGCCAGUCCCUCAUGGUUGGACUGGUUUCUCACUGGGUCCUGGUGGCAGUUACUGCUAAAGUUCUCACUCCCCAUUCUUGUUACAUUAUUAUUUGUAUGUUGUUGUUUCAUUUGUAUUAUACCCUGCCUCCGUUCCAUGAUACAACAUACUUUUAGUUCUGUUUUUCUGCUAUACACUGCAGAAGAACGAAUGGAUUUACUAACCUUGUCUAGCCCUCUUAAUAAUGAUGAUGAUGUGAUCUGAAUGACGGUUGUGCUGAAAGUGUUUUUGCAAUUUGUACAAUACUGAUGCUUCUGAUCAUACUGUCAUGAUAAACAGGAGGGACUGUUAGGUUGAAGAAACUGUUAGUAAUCAUUUGUUAUCAUUUCUGUAUAAUCAGCAAUGAGUGUAAAUAUGUAUAUACAUUAUUUUGUUUUCCUUUACCUUCAUACUUUAGAUUAUAUUAGUUUACACGUAUCCUGAGCACGUGUUUAAAUAGUUGUCUACCUGAGGAAAACCAGAACUUCUUCUUACUCUCACAGUCUUUUCUUUGUUCUCACUCCAAGACCCCUGCCCCCCAUUGACUAUAAAUAAAGGUGCCAAGGGGAACCACCCUUUGUAACACAUUCCUUUGUAGCCUAGCAUGCAGAGAGUGUGGUUACCCUUGUGCAAGUAAAACUCUAA